GGUUUAUGGGAACACAGUCUAAUUUUCUGCAUGGGGACAACAAAAGAAUACUUUUUCUACUUAUGAAUAAUGCACUUUAAUUGCUAUUUCCAGCAAUGUAUCCUAUACACCAUGCGAUCGCCAGGGACAAAAGUGCACAUUGGACUCAAAGUAUAUUACCGGUAUUUCCCAAUAUUUCAAGGUUCAGGGUAAAAAUGUUUUGGGGGAGAGUACAUCAGCUAUCACAGAAGUGGACAUUUUUAAAUCUGUGAAGCUGAACCCUGUCAGAAAUGUCAAAGCUAUAGCAGUGAACAACUCAAUGAUCAGUUUGUCAUGGCAAGCAUCCCCCUCAGGAAGGAACAUCAUGGAGGAUUAUAUUUUAUCUACAGUGGGCCGUGGCCUGCAGUACAGGGUUGAAUACAGGAUUGAACCAGACAAUCACACAGUGGUUGUAUACCUGAAUAGAUCCAAAACCAUGAAUGCAACUAUAUAUUUGACCAAUGUUGCACCAGCAACAAACCAGUAUAACAUCAGCAUAGCAGUGAGACCGCAGGGAGGACUGUACUGGAGUUCACUGACGGUGGU